UCUAUUUAAGACCGGUACUCCAUCACUGUGGUUCGUCUACCACUGGCCCGCUCGAGUCCAGGUUACCUAAAACACACGACACGCCAUUCCCAAACGAUCUACUUUUUCGUUCAUCUCUCUUUCGCCCUCUGCUUCAAGCGCUGCUCAUAGCUCCAAUCUGCCAGCGUCGAGAACUAUUCCGUUGUGUGCAAUGACAAAAUCCUACCAUAACCAAGAGAAUGCUGAAGAGGGAGGAAUGGAGCAGGCGAUUGGAACGGGUCCCGUCCUUGCCUCUCCAGUCACCUGCUGUCCCUGCGGCACUGGUAAUAUCAGAUACAGCAAGCAUCCUUCACCAUUUCGGAUGCACUAAACAUUGUACAAAUGACAACCCUCUUACCCAUACACAACAGUAGGUCCAAACAGUGAUGGGCCUAAUGGCUAGAAAGAUCUGCAGAGAUAUAUCUCAGGUGAAGCAACAAUCACAUACACAGGCAGAACAAAGCCUCAACAGAGAUGUCUCAGAUAAAGCAGCAACAGUCUAAAGUCCAAUGACAAGAAACCAAGCAAUCCAUGGCUACCAAAGCCUCUGGAGAUGUCUCAGACUCGAUACAUUCAAAGCACAAAAGUAAACAACAUUCAACACUCCAAAACACUGGGAGAGAGAGUGAGAAUUCAUCUGAACUCCUCUCCUCCCAUGGACCUGAUUCCCGCACUUGAGAUCUUACAGAGAUGGCUGCAGCUGCUCUCGGAAAACCCUCAGCAUGUCGGCAAACGUGACGAUGCCGAUGAGGCUAUAGUCGUCUUCGUCGACGACCCACAGAUAGCUAACCCGGUGCGCCAGCGCCUGGACCAUCACGGCCACCAGCGAGUUCCCGGGGUGGCACACCUCCGGCUCCUCCGAUCUCCUCCCCAUGGAGAAGCUCCUCGACCUCAGCCUCCUCGGCAGCCUUCCCCCGCAUGACUCCUCGUCGGAUGAGGAGGAGGAGGAGGCCGACGGCGACGAGGACGAGUGGGAGAACGAGGACAACACGUCUUCCAUUAGUUCAAGCAUCUCCUGCAACCCCUUCUCCUUCAGUCCUUCUCUAAUUGCGCGGACGAGGGACUCCGGUGGCGAGCCAUAGUAGUCGACAAAGGCCAUGAGGUCGCCUGCCGUGAGGGUUGCGACGCCGGCAGCCAAGGUCACGGCCAUGAGGUCGCAGGCAGAAAGAGCCAAGGGGGAGAUCUCGCCCAGCAGUCGGCCGUCGUCGGUGACAACGGCCACCGCGGCCUGUUCGGAGAGAGCGCGGCGGAGGACAGGGAGGAGGGCGAGUCCGGGCUCGUCGUGGCGGACGGUGAGGGCGGUGGCGGAGCGGACGAGGCCGACGGCAUCGAUGGAGAGCGUGGCAAUGGGGGAGAAGACGGCGAUGGAGUUAAGGAAGUAGCGGACGAAGUCCUCAUGUGUCAGCCAGCAGUAUUCGACGGUGGCCCCGCCACCGCCGUGGUGGAGCUUCUUCCGGCCGACGGAGCCAAUGGGGACCACAAGGUUCUGCGCUCCGUCGAGGAUCAAAUCGAGAGCUUCCAAUACGCUGCGAAUGGAAUUCCCCAAAAAGGAAGGAGGUUGAUUCAAGAAGGCGUUUUGAGAGGGACAAAAGGGUACCUGAACUGCCGCUCAACGCGGCGGACGAGGCCGGCGCCCUUGGAAAGGAGGACGGAGACGGGCCGCUCGAGCGCAACGGUCGGCGACUCGA